rnacentral:rRNA from 1 species
GACGAACGCUGGCGGCGUGCUUAACACAUGCAAGUCGAACGGUAAGGCCCUUCGGGGUACACGAGUGGCGAACGGGUGAGUAACACGUGGGUGAUCUGCCACGCACUUCGGGAUAAGCCUGGGAAACUGGGUCUAAUACCGGAUAGGACCACUGCCUGCAUGGGUGGUGGUGGAAAGCUUUUGUGGUGUGGGAUGGGCCCGCGGCCUAUCAGCUUGUUGGUGGGGUGAUGGCCUACCAAGGCGACGACGGGUAGCCGGCCUGAGAGGGUGACCGGCCACACUGGGACUGAGAUACGGCCCAGACUCCUACGGGAGGCAGCAGUGGGGAAUAUUGCACAAUGGGCGCAAGCCUGAUGCAGCGACGCCGCGUGAGGGAUGACGGCCUUCGGGUUGUAAACCUCUUUCAGCACCGACGAAGCGCAAGUGACGGUAGGUGCAGAAGAAGGACCGACCAACUACGUGCCAGCAGCCGCGGUAA